CCAAACCCACAGCACCUGGGCUCUGUUGCAGCCUCCUCCCACCCCAGCUGUGGCCACUUUGCCCUCCCUGCCCACUGCCCUAUUUAAGCAGCCCCAGGACAGGCAGCAGCCCCAAGCUUGCCCAACUGGGCAGAGGAUCCUCCUCCUGUCACCACAGAUGGCAACAACCAUCCCCUGCUGGUGAACUGCUUUAAAAUGAGGCAAUGAAGUGUAAGAGCAUUAAACUGCACACCAGAGAGAGUCAGACAGCAGCAAUUGCCAUGCUACUUGUUCUGGAUGCUUCCCACACCUAUAAUUAGCAUUGUCUGACAAUUCCCA